GUGAGGAAUAUUGGUCAAUGGGCGGGAGCCUGAACCAGCCAAGUCGCGUGAAGGAAGAAGGAUCUAUGGUUCGUAAACUUCUUUUGCAGGGGAAUAAAGUGCAGGACGUGUCCUGUUUUGUAUGUACCCUGAGAAUAAGGAUCGGCUAACUCCGUGCCAGCAGCCGCGGUAAUACGGAGGAUCCGAGCGUUAUCCGGAUUUAUUGGGUUUAAAGGGUGCGUAGGUGGUUUGAUAAGUCAGCGGUGAAAGUUUGCAGCUUAACUGGAAAAAUGCCGUUGAAACUGUCGGACUUGAGUGUAAAUGAGGUAGGCGGAAUGCGUGGUGUAGCGGUGAAAUGCAUAGAUAUCACGCAGAACUCCGAUUGCGAAGGCAGCUUACUAAGCUACAACUGACACUGAAGCACGAAAGCGUGGGGAUCAAACAGGAUUAGAUACCCGAGUAGUCC
rnacentral:rRNA from 1 species